CUGCGAAUGGCUCAUUAAAUCAGUUAUCGUUUAUUUGAUAGUACCUUACUACAUGGAUACCUGUGGUAAUUCUAGAGCUAAUACAUGCUGAAAACCUCGACUUCGGAAGGGGUGUAUUUAUUAGAUAAAAAACCAAUGCCCUUCGGGGCUCCUUGGUGAAUCAUAAUAACUUAACGAAUCGCAUGGCCUUGCGCCGGCGAUGGUUCAUUCAAAUUUCUGCCCUAUCAACUUUCGAUGGUAGGAUAGUGGCCUACCAUGGUGGCAACGGGUAACGGGGAAUUAGGGUUCGAUUCCGGAGAGGGAGCCUGAGAAACGGCUACCACAUCCAAGGAAGGCAGCAGGCGCGCAAAUUACCCAAUCCCGACACGGGGAGGUAGUGACAAUAAAUACUGAUACGGGGCUCUUUUGGGUCUCGUAAUUGGAAUGAGUACAAUCUAAAUCCCUUAACGAGGAACAAUUGGAGGGCAAGUCUGGUGCCAGCAGCCGCGGUAAUUCCAGCUCCAAUAGCGUAUAUUAAAGUUGUUGCAGUUAAAAAGCUCGUAGUUGAACCUUGGGUUCGGCCGGCCGGUCCGCCUCACCGCGAGUACUGGUCCGGCCGUUCCUUUCCUUCUGGGGAAUCCCAUGGCCUUCACUGGCUGUGGGGGGAACCAGGACUUUUACUGUGAAAAAAUUAGAGUGUUCAAAGCAGGCCUUUGCUCGAAUACAUUAGCAUGGAAUAAUAGAAUAGGACGUGUGGUUCUAUUUUGUUGGUUUCUAGGACCGCCGUAAUGAUUAAUAGGGAUAGUCGGGGGCGUCAGUAUUCAGCUGUCAGAGGUGAAAUUCUUGGAUUUGCUGAAGACUAACUACUGCGAAAGCAUUCGCCAAGGAUGUUUUCAUUAAUCAGGGAACGAAAGUUAGGGGAUCGAAGACGAUCAGAUACCGUCGUAGUCUUAACCAUAAACUAUGCCGACUAGGGAUCGGGCGGGAUUCUACAAUGACCCGCUCGGCACCUUACGAGAAAUCAAAGU
rnacentral:rRNA from 1 species